AUUGAACGCUGGCGGCAGGCCUAACACAUGCAAGUCGAGCGAGCGGCGGACGGGAGAGUAAUGCCUGGGAAUUGCCCAGUCGAGGGGGAUAACAGUUGGAAACGCCUGCUAAUACCGCAUACGAUUGGAUUGCCCAGGUGGGAUUAGCUAGUUGGUGAGGUAAUGGCUCACCAAGGCGACGAUCUCUAGCUGGUCUGAGAGGAUGAUCAGCCACACUGUAACUUAGAAAAGGUGCAGACGCCUACGGGAGGCAGCGGUGGGGAAUAUUGCACAAUGGUGGAAAGCCUGAUGCAGCCAUGCCGCGUGUGUGAAGAAGGCCUUCGGGUUGUAAAGCAGUUUCAGCGAGGAGGCGUUACUCGCAGAAGAAGCACCGGCUAACUCCGUGCCAGCAGCCGCGGUAAUUC
rnacentral:rRNA from 1 species